rnacentral:rRNA from 1 species
UACGUAGGGUCCAAGCGUUGUCCGGAUUUAUUGGGCGUAAAGAGCUCGUAGGUGGCUCAGUAAGUCGGAUGUGAAAUCUCGGAGCUUAACUCCGAAACUGCAUUCGAUACUGCCGUGCUUGAGGACUGGAGAGGAGACUGGAAUUUACGGUGUAGCAGUGAAAUGCGUAGAGAUCGUAAGGAAGACCAGUGGCGAAGGCGAGUCUCUGGACAGUUACUGACGCUGAGGCACGAAGGCCAGGGGAGCAAACGGG